GGGGACGUGGCGGAAUUGGCAGACGCGCAUGACUUAGGAUCAUGUGCCGCAAGGCGUGGGAGUUCGAGUCUCCCCGUCCCCA
rnacentral:tRNA from 2 species